AACGAACGCUGGCGGCGUGAAUAAGACAUGCAAGUCGGACGAGAUUUUUCGUUGUAGCAAUACGAUGGAAAGUCUAGUGGCGAACGGGUGCUUAACACGUGGGCAACCUGCCAGGAAGUGGGGGACAGCUCGCCGAAAGGCGGAUUAAUACCGCAUGUGAUUAGAGAGGACAUCCUUUCGAAAUUAAAGUCGGGGCAACCUGACGCUUCUUGUGGGGCCCGCGGCCUAUCAGCUAGUUGGUGAGGUAACGGCUCACCAAGGCUUUGACGGGUAGCUGGUCUGAGAGGACGACCAGCCACACUGGGACUGAGACACGGCCCAGACACCUACGGGUGGCAGCAGUCGAGAAUUUUUGACAAUGGGGGAAACCCUGAUCGAGCGACGCCGCGUGGAGGAUGAAGGUCUUCGGAUUGUAAACUCCUGUCAUUGGGGAACAAUGCGCAAAUAGUAACUGUAUUUGUGUUGAUAGUACCCGAAGAGGAAGAGACGGCUAACUCUGUGCCAGCCGCCGCAGUAACAC
rnacentral:rRNA from 1 species